UGCAAAAUGACUAGGAACCCUCGUGCUU
rnacentral:piRNA from 1 species